rnacentral:rRNA from 1 species
AUUGAACGCUGGCGGCAUGCUUUACACAUGCAAGUCGAACGGUAACAGGCCGCAAGGUGCUGACGAGUGGCGAACGGGUGAGUAAUGCACCGGAACGUGCCCAGUCGUGGGGGAUAACGCAGCGAAAGCUGUGCUAAUACCGCAUACGAUCUAUGGAUGAAAGCGGGGGACCGUAAGGCCUCGCGCGAUUGGAGCGGCCGAUGUCAGAUUAGGUAGUUGGUGGGGUAAAGGCUCACCAAGCCAACGAUCUGUAGCUGGUCUGAGAGGACGACCAGCCACCCUGGGACGUGGACACGGCCCAGACUCCUACGGGAGGCAGCAGUGGGGAAUUUUGGACAAUGGGCGCAAGCCUGAUCCAGCAAUGCCGCGUGCAGGAAGAAGGCCUUCGGGUUGUAAACUGCUUUUGUACGGAACGAAACGGCGAGCUCUAAUACAGUUUGCUAAUGACGGUACCGUAAGAAUAAGCACCGGCUAACUACGUGCCAGCAGCCGCCGUAA